rnacentral:rRNA from 1 species
CAGUAGCCGCGGGAAUACGUAGGGUGCAAGCGUUAAUCGGAAUUACUGGGCGUAAAGCGUGCGCAGGCGGUUUGUUAAGACAGAUGUGAAAUCCCCGGGCUCAACCUGGGAACUGCAUUUGUGACUGGCAAGCUAGAGUAUGGCAGAGGGGGGUGGAAUUCCGCGUGUAGCAGUGAAAUGCGUAGAUAUGCGGAGGAACACCGAUGGCGAAGGCAGCCCCCUGGGCCAAUACUGACGCUCAUGCACGAAAGCGUGGGGAGCAAACAGGAUUAGAUACCCCUGUAGUCCCUGUCCUUAUACC